UAUGCGUCGGUGUGGGAGUAAGCGUGGGAGUGUGUGCCGCAGCAUGGGAAGCGAGUGAUUCGCUGAUUUGCCAAAUUCGUCGUAUUUAUUUGGAAAUUUGCAAAGUAAUAGCAAAGAAUCGUCGCUAAACAAGUGCAGUCGAAUUAGCCGCGAAAAGUGCAUUAAUUGCGGCCUUCGUCAUCGCCGCGUGUGCGACAGUGUGCGUGUCCCCAGUGCGUGCGGGAGUGUGUGUGUGGCGCAGUUCACACAACUUGGCCUGGAAAAAGUGAAAGAGUAUUUUUUCGGCCAUAUUGUGUUGUCAUAGCUGGAAAAAGUGCAUUUCCCGGUCAUAUGGAGAUUCUGGGCACCUGCGAAAGUGCAGUCGAUCAGCCAAAGUUUACACAAUACCCCGUAAAUGUCGAGUAAAUAGCGCGACUUAUGUAAAGCAGAGAACAAAAAAUUAUUUACAUUUACAAAGACAUCUUAACUUGUUUGGCAGCGGCUUGUAAAUUGCAGGAAGGAACAGCAGUAAUAACAUAAACAAGGUAUGUAAUUGGGCGCCCUAAAAUGCCUUUUCUUUAAACUUUAAAAUACAAGUCGGCCUUUUUAAGUCAAGGAUACGUUUAAGAAAAAAACACACGUUCUCCAUGCCGCGUGAGUAAUUAUAAUUUAUUUAAAUCGAUUACGACGCAUUGCGAGACAAAAGGAAACUCGAUCGAUUCGAAUCGAUCCGAUCUCGUCUCGGGUGACCCAUUUUGGAGGCCCAAGCGCAAUUAUUCAUUUAUAACGACUCUAAAAAAAUGUCCGAAAAAACGAGCCGAUAAGCAAACCAGUUGCUUCGAUCCAUGCGUGCCCUAAAUAUCUAGAGUUAUUCAGAUAUGUAAUGAGGGAAGGUUUAAAAACUGAUGGUCAAAGACGUAAUUUGCUUAUCUUAACCAGACGAUGUAAGAUAAUAUAGAAGUAGAAAUCUCCUUCUUUAUGGGAAUAAAAACCAUAUUUUUUGAUGUGUAAGAAUACUGGCCUCUAAAUCUCAAUCAUAAAAAUAUGAAUUUAUUUGUUUUUUCAAAGUCGCAAAUUAUUGGGCCUAAAUAUUUAUAUUUUUUAAUCAAUAUUCAAAAUUACCUGAAGCCAAUUUCGUAGAUUUUUUUGUGAUAAAAAGGCUUAAGCCUUGGGGUUUGCUCAAAAGACAUAGAAAUAUACAAGGGCGCGACUGAGUCGCUUCUCCUGCGGCAUUAGGUAAUCGCAUUUCGGCCGAAAGCCACAAAAAUUGGGUCAAAAUUUUCACUCGAAAACUUUUGCCUCUAAUUUGACAGACGAGCGACCGCAUUUUGGUGGCAUUUUUCUGAAAACCCAACCAUUUUUGUUUUAUUUUUCGUUUCCUCCUUGCUUCUACCACUUUUGUAAACUCUCGCGUUUACAAUUUUAAUUGCGGAUGCGCACACUUUCGUUUUCGUUUUAUUGUUUUUUUUUGCUAUUGUUGUUGCUUUUGGCCUCUGUAUAUUUGUUGUUAUUGUUGUUUUUGGUUGUCCCCCACGCAUUAAAAGAGAGGCCUACGGAUAGUCCGGCGCUCUUUUUCUUCAACUUUGGCGUCUGUGCGACUUCAUUUUUUUUACUUUACCUUUUUUGCGGCUUUCCAAAAAAAAAAAAAAAAAAAAACUGAUGAAAAAAAAUAUAUAACCGCAGCUUACAGUUUCACUUGAGGGAAAUCGCACCUCUCCCGCCCCUUCCGCCCCCUUCGCUGACUUACCUCACCUCUGUUAUGACAUAACCCAACUUUGCCGCUGCUGCUGCGACUGUGGAAAGUUAAACAAAUUUUGUUUGUCGUCCGCUUUGAAAAUUUUGCAACUUGGAAAGUUUUUUCUGAACACCGCAAGAAAUAUCACCAAAAUUGGUUACGAAUUGCCAAGCUUUUGGCAACCUAAUUGGUGGACCUAUAUGGAGUUUAAAUGGGUCAUGUUAUAUUUUAUAUUUUUAUAUUUUAAACAUAUAUAGUAUUGCAACAUUUUGAAAACCAAUUGCUAUAUCUCUCGACAUUAAAGGCUCACUAAUGUAAUUUUUCUCACUUAUAAAGUUACAAAGUUGGGGAAAUAUCCACUAGAAAUGAAUAUCUUAAAUAAUCAAAUGGUUAUAAAAAAAGGAGUAUUGAAAUGGUGAUUUGUUUAUUUUCGCAGUGCAUCUGUUGUUGUUUCUGGGGCAGCAAAUUGAAUUUCACAUUAGUUGCAGUUGCAAUUACCCCGCCGAAAAAUCGAGAGCUGAAAAGGAGAAGAAAAAUUGUGCAACGCGGUCGCACAUUUAGAAAGUAUCAUACGAAGAUCGAUGUGGGCGCCGAUUUACACUACUCCCCUUAAACUUUCAUUUAAAUAAGCCGCUAACAGAAAGCACACACAAUAAAUUGAGAUACAUUUUCAAAAAUGUAUCUCCGGCUAAUAAUAAUAAUCACUUAAUUUGAACGCUAAUUUGUGACUGCUCUGCGGCAGCUUCUUCUCUAAAUCGGGGUCUUCCAUUCACUUAAUGACUUUCUUUCUUAAAACGAUCGGAGAUCGCUGGCCGUGGAAGGUGAACUGAUUUUUUUUCUUCGGGCAAAGUUUGCUUUUCCUCCCAGGGAAAUUAUGCAAAAAACAAUGGCCAGUCCAAAGAAAAGUUGAAUGCAAAUCGUCGCUGUUCAUUUGAACAAUUUCAUUUGGGUUUUGAAAGUUCAGCCAGGGAAAUUUAUGUGCUGGCCAGAAAGCAAAAAAUACAAAAUUGGAGAGAUGAACAACAAAAAGUUCCCGAGGGUCUUGUAACAAUGCGGGCAGUUCAUUUUUUAUACACUACAUUUUCCUUCGCUGGGAGGGGAUUGGGUUAUUAGGGGGCGUGGCCUAACCAAAAGUGGGUGUAAAGUGUGGGAGAGACGGGUUUAAGGGUCCAUGACAUUUCGACACGAACAUUCGUGUCUCUGAACUAUUGUUCACCAUUUGAUUUCUUGUUAAAGUAAAUGUGAUUUUGAGAUGCAUAUUGGUUAGCGCAAAAACAAAUUAUUUUAAUAAAUUUUUCACCUUUCGAAUUGUUAUUGAUAGCCUGUUGGGUUACUUUCGAUUGAAGUCAUUUGAUAGGUCAGCCAGCAGGCGUUUGUCGUACGUAUAACAGUUGUAUAACACGCUGUUUUUGCGGUCUUGGGACAGCUGUGUAAAAAUAUUUUCACAAAUAUUUAGUUGCCAUUGCAAAACAGCUGAAAUGCUCACGUUAAGGGUCAGUUACAAUAUGUUUAAGCUUUUUGUAUCAAUUUUAAUCAUUACAUUGAAGAACAAUAGACAUUUUAUAACUUAAAUUACUUACAAAUAACUAAGUAAUUUCUAUAACUAAACUGUAAAUAUAAACACAGUUAAUUUGUGUGUCAUUUGACGAUAUAAAAGUACACAACAAUUUAUAAUAGUUUUAAAAAAACAAUUUAUUCUAGAAAGUUUACUAUUGAAAAGUGAUCAAAGUUCCGAAACCCAAAUAUUUUCACACAUCUGUCUACCCAUUCAUGAAAAAAUUACAACUUUCUUGUCUUACUCUUGUAUUUUGUAUAACACUUCCGCAAACAAGGUGUAAAAAGACGUUUAGUGGUUCACUAUAAUUAUGCAAUUUAUGCAAAUGCCGUUUCAUUUACACCCUUUUAACAGUUUUCACCGCUUGUGUAUAACAAUUGGUCAACAGAGAUCCAUCUGCAGCUAAUCUUUAGCUUAACCGUUAGCCAUUAACGCCACCCGCUGUCCCGCUCUCACUGGCGCAUUACAAAUUGAAUUUCCAUUCGCCGUGCCAAUCAAUUUCUCGAUGCCCAGAAAGUUUUGACCCCACUUCCCUUGAGGGCAGGGCGCCGAAAUGCCGGAACUAUUCGUGGCCUACAAAACAAAUUCAUGCACUUUUCCCCCGCAUCUUCAGGCUGCGAUUUCACUCGAAUUCGUAACACCCGACCAAAAAACCAAAACCAAAAAAAAAAAAAAAACAACCAAAACAAAACAAAGAGAAAGACCCUAAAAUUUAUAUAUUUAAAACCAAAAAGACAGAGGGAAACGAAACAUAUCGAAGCCACCCGCGAUUUGUGUGUUGUUUAUACCCAAAUCUCACCCGCUAUCACACACGACGACUUCGAGAAACUCUCUUUUCUCUGCUGCCCGAUUAUCUACACCUUUCACCUUUCACAGCAAACGAUGCUCAACCUUUGUUGUAGGUCUUUUUGUUUUUAUUUUCUUCUCAAAUACCGCAAACAUUAAAUUCGCUCGGCUCUGCAGCCUUUCUAAUUUCAAUUGGGUUUUUAGUUUGUGCGAUUGUUGUGCAAUUGAAUUAAUUGUGGAACUCGAAGAGGCAAAACCCCGCAUCUCCCUAUUUCAGUUGCACACACAUGUUGCACUCUUCUCUUCCUCAUUCUAGGAGUGACAUUUCACGGCAGCGCCCACCAAAUAAAAAAACAAAUAGAAAGAAAAGAUACCCGCAUUACAUAAACGCUGCGAGGGAUUUCCACACCAAAAACAAAAAUUAGUUUCACCUCUUUUUCAUGACUUGAGCUGUAAAAAGCGCAGCAAAUUAUAAAAUAAGCACAGCCAAAAAAAGAGAAGCCAAAAAUACAAAUGAAGACAAAAAAAAAAUGGACAAUUUUAUCUUUCAAUGCGCGAGAGUUCGCCCACAGUUAGUUGAAGCUGCCGCUGGAAGUUGCAGCUGCAGUUGCAUUCGCUUUUUUGGCUAACUCAGUUUUUUGGCAAAAACUGAAACCAAAAUAUACGAUAAAGCUGCAGCAACCAAUAAUAAACAAGAAGUAAAGGGUAGUACUAAAAUAACACGAAGAGUUGAAUACCCUUCCUGACCGAUUUCAAAAUUUGAUAGAAAAAUACCUAUUUUGAAAUAGCUAACUUUAAAGUUUGUAAGUCAA